rfam:Brassica napus, WGS project CCCW01000000 data, contig: 10118
GCGCCUGUGGCCUAAUGGAUAAGGCGUUCGACUUCUAAUCAAACGAUUGUGGGUUACCGGGCGUG